AUUGAACGCUGGCGGCAUGCCUUACACAUGCAAGUCGAACGGCAGCGGGGACUUCGGUCCGCCGGCGAGUGGCGAACGGGUGAGUAAAGUAUCGGAACGUACCUUUCAGUGGGGGAUAACGUAGCGAAAGUUACGCUAAUACCGCAUAUUCUGUGAGCAGGAAAGCAGGGGAUCGCAAGACCUUGCGCUGAUUGAGCGGCCGAUAUCAGAUUAGCUAGUUGGUGAGGUAAAGGCUCACCAAGGCGACGAUCUGUAGCGGGUCUGAGAGGAUGAUCCGCCACACUGGAACUGAGACGCGGUCCAGACUCCUACGGGAGGCAGCAGUGGGGAAUUUUGGACAAUGGGGGCAACCCUGAUCCAGCCAUGCCGCGUGAGUGAAGAAGGCCUUCGGGUUGUAAAGCUCUUUCGGCCGGGAAGAAAUCGUAUCAGCUAAUACCUGGUGCGGAUGACGGUACCGGCAUAAGAAGCACCGGCUAACUACGUGCCAGCCGCCGCGGUAAUAC
rnacentral:rRNA from 1 species